ACAUUAUGGAAAAUAAUUAACUUUAUCACAAUAUGCUAAUAUUUUGAGAAGGACCUGUAUUACCUAGAUUUAGUUUACACUGUGACCACUAGAUGGUGGUAAAUACAAAAAGGUUUCAAAGCUCCACAGCACAGAGCGGAGUGUUUCUGAGAAGACUGCAUAAAUGAUAAAACCUGUUAGAAGUAAAAACUACCACAAACCCAACGCCAAGGCUGGGGAUCUGUUAGUAUCAUGCUGUGGGGAUAAUUGUCAUUUUCUAAAGAACUAGACUGAUACAGGGUUUCACCUUUGAAAAAAAACUAUGUAAAUUCAAAGUAGCUGCUUGAUUUAAAAAAAAAAAAAAGGAAAUCUAACUUUUAUACAUUAUAAGCAGUUAAGAAUAGUUUAGGUCAGAGUUUGAUCUUUGUUUCUUAGUAUUGAAUGUUUAUAGUGAAGCUGUUCAUGUCAGUCUUCUAAUAAUAAAAAAGAGGAACUACCAGUUUCUGUUCUCACCUUCACACACAUUUAGCUCCUUAAUAUAACCAACACCCAGCUAACUACAGAUAUGCUUCACAAGGAGUCAUUUUUUCCUUUUUAUUGUUUUACAUGUAAAUAAAUAAUAAAAUGCUAAAUAUAACAAAAGAAAACAAAGUGAGUUAUUUAUAAAAACACAUUGAUAUGUCCACAGCUUUUCUAACAAGAGAUGAUUUAAAACAUUUAAUGAAAACAUGAGAGGUGAGAUACAGUGAGGUCAUUAAGAAGCAACGCCUCACAAACCACACAGGGCGUGUUAUAGAUUUAUAUUUAAAGAUAAUCAGCUUUAGACUCAGUCAUUUGUGACCCAGACAACAAGAUAGACAGAGAGCAGCAGUGGGAACAUUCAGACUGAUUAAAAUGUUUUUCUUUCUGAUUCUUAUUCUUCAGUUUAAAGACAGCAACACUGAAAAUGGAACGUUUCAUGAAGAUGCAUCGACUAAAGCAGAGAGACCGAGAGUUACAUCAGACUCUGGUUAUGAAGAAUAUCAGAGGUGACGAUGUUGGUUCAUACAUCUGCAGAAGACUCAUAUCAGGAGAACAAGGAGCAGAGUCUCAUAUUGACCUGUCUGUUAUUACCGUUGAGUAUUUUCAUCAUGUUUGAGCUCAAUUUGUCAACAACAACAUCAGAUAUUGUAUUUUGAAUGUAUUUCAAAAGUUUUUUGUUAUACUUUUAAUAUAUGUUUGUCUUCACCAGUAUCUGAGCAGAACACCAGUGAUAAAGUGACCGUGUUCUGCAAGGUGAUGGUACCUGGGUACUGUAGAUACUCAGUGAGGUGGCUGUAUAAUGGUCAAGAGACAAAACCCCCUACUGAGUUAUUCAGCCAAAGUCCAUGCUGUCAGCAAACUGUGUACUUCUUCUUAAAUUACCCAGAUGUAGUUUACACUGUGACCACUAGAUGGUGGUAAAACACAAAACGGUUUCAAAGCUGUUAGGAGUAAAAACCAUCAACCCAACACCAAACAUUGAGGUGUUAGUAUCAUGCUGUGGGGAUUGUUGUUAUUUUUCCAAAACACUUAUACACGUUUCACUUUUGAACUUACUAUGCAACUUCAAUGUAGCUGCUUGAAAUAAAAAAAAAGUAAAUCUAACUUUUAUACAUUAUUUGCAGUUAAGAAUAGUUUAAUUCAGAGUUUUUUUAGUAUUGAAUGUUUGUAGUGAAGCUGUUCAUGUCAGUCUUCUAAUAAUAAAAAAGAGGAACUACCAGA